rnacentral:tRNA from 1 species
AAGAAAAGGUCAGGAUAGCUCAGAAGGUAGAGCAGAGG